rnacentral:rRNA from 1 species
GUUUAUCAAAAACAUCGCCUCUUGAUUAUUAUAAGAGGUCUAGCCUGCCCAAUGAUUUAUUAAAUGGCCGCGGUACCCUAACCGUGCGAAGGUAGCAUAAUCACUUGUUCGUUAAAUGCGGACUAGUAUGAACGGCCUCACGAGGGUCACACUGUCUCCCUACUUUAAUCAAUUAAACUAAUCUCCCCGUGAAGAAGCGAGGAUUAUAAUAUAAGACGAGAAGACCCCAUGGAGCUUAAAACCCAGAACCAACUACUAACACUUCUCAUACAAAUACUGUAUAACUGGCUUCUGGUUUUUGGUUGGGGCGACCGCGGAGUAAAACACAACCUCCACGAUGAACAAAACAUUUUACUUAAGAGUUACACCUCUAAUGAUCAUAAACAUGACAUUUAUUGACCCAAGACCACUUGAUCAACGAACCUAGUUACCCUGGGGAUAACAGCGCAAUCCAUUUCAAGAGCCCCUAUCGACAAAUGGGUUUACGACCUCGAUGUUGGAUCAGGGCAUCCCAGUGGUGCAACCGCUACUAAAGGUUUGUUUGUUCAACAAUUAAAGCCCUACGUGAUCUGAGUUCAGACCGG